GACGGAGGAUGCAAGCGUUAUCCGGAAUGAUUGGGCGUAAAGCGUCCGCAGGUGGCAGUUCAAGUCUGCUGUCAAAGACCGGGGCUUAACUUCGGAAAGGCAGUGGAAACUGAACAGCUAGAGUAUGGUAGUGGCAGAGGGAAUUCCUGGUGUAGCGGUGAAAUGCGUAGAGAUCAGGAAGAACAUCGGUGGCGAAGGCGCUCUGCUGGACCAUAACUGACACUCAGGGACGAAAGCUAGGGGAUCGAAUGGG
rnacentral:rRNA from 1 species